ACAGGGGGAUAACACUGAGAAAUUGGUACUAAUACCCCAUAAUAUCAUAGAAGGCAUCUUUUAUGGUUGAAAAUUCCGAUGGUUAGAGAUGGGCAUGCGUUGUAUUAGCUAGUUGGUGGGGUAACGGCUCACCAAGGCGACGAUACAUAGGGGGACUGAGAGGUUAACCCCCCACACUGGUACUGAGACACGGACCAGACUCCUACGGGAGGCAGCAGUGAGGAAUAUUGGUCAAUGGACGCAAGUCUGAACCAGCCAUGCCGCGUGCAGGAUGACGGCUCUAUGAGUUGUAAACUGCUUUUGUACGAGGGUAAACGCAGAUACGUGUAUCUGUCUGAAAGUAUCGUACGAAUAAGGAUCGGCUAACUCCGUGCCAGCAGCCGCGGUAAUACGGAGGAUUCAAGCGUUAUCCGGAUUUAUUGGGUUUAAAGGGUGCGUAGGCGGUUUGAUAAGUUAGAGGUGAAAUUUCGGGGCUCAACCCUGAACGUGCCUCUAAUACUGUUGAGCUGGAGAGUAGUUGCGGUAGGCGGAAUGUAUGGUGUAGCGGUGAAAUGCUUAGAGAUCAUACAGAACACCGAUUGCGAAGGCAGCUUACCAAACUAUAUCUGACGUUGAGGCACGAAAGCGUGGGGAGCAAACAGGAUUAGAUACCCUGGUAGUCCACGCAGUAAACGA
rnacentral:rRNA from 1 species